UACGUAGGGGGCAAGCGUUGUCCGGAAUCAUUGGGCGUAAAGAGCGUGUAGGCGGCCAGAAAAGUCCGCUGUGAAAACUCGAGGCUCAACUUCGAGCUGUCGGUGGAAACUUUCUGGCUAGAGUCCGGAAGAGGAGAAUGGAAUUCCUGGUGUAGCGGUGAAAUGCGCAGAUAUCAGGAAGAACACCCGUGGCGAAGGCGGUCUCUGGGACGGUACUGACGCUGAGGAGCGAAAGCGUGGGGAGCAAACAGG
rnacentral:rRNA from 1 species